UACGAGAGGUCCCAAGCGUUGUUCGGAUUCAUUGGGCGUAAAGGGUGCGUAGGUGGCGCCGUAAGUGGGGUGUGAAAUUUCGGAGCUUAACUCCGAAACUGCAUUCCAUACUGCGGUGCUUGAGGACUGGAGAGGAGACUGGAAUUUACGGUGUAGCAGUGAAAUGCGUAGAGAUCGUAAGGAAGACCAGUGGCGAAGGCGGGUCUCUGGACAGUUCCUGACACUGAGGCACGAAGGCCAGGGGAGCAAACGGG
rnacentral:rRNA from 1 species